CUGGACACAGUUGGAAGUAACAGCUAUUUCCCUUGAAGAACCUCUGGAAGUGCAAACUUAGCAGACAAACAAAAAGAAAGGAGAAAGGAAAGGUCUCGUGUGUUACAAGUGGUGUACAAGAACCUAUCCUUUGACUGCUGGGAUCGCUAGAGAUACUGAUGAUUGUAUUGUUUCUCUUAAUCCUAGUGGGCAUAUUUAUUUAAUCUAAUCUAAUCAUUCACACAUCAUACCUCCCCCCCCCAAAAAAAAAAUCACUCCACACACCUGGGGAGGUUGUGACAUUAAUUAUACUAUUUUAUAGGGAGCUCUUAAAUAUCUUUAAAUACUCCACCUGUAGUGUUUAAGUGGAGAGCUUCACAAAACAUAUAUGGUAAAGAAUGAAAAAUUAGGCACCACCAGCAACCACACACCACACAACAAAAACACUGUUACCCAGGAACCUAUCCUUGCAACAAAGCCCAUUGCCAACUGUGUCCACAUAUCUAUUCAGGGGACACCAUCAUAGGGCCU